UACGGAGGGUGCAAGCGUUAUCCGGAUUUACUGGGUUUAAAGGGUGCGUAGGCGGGCCUUUAAGUCAGUGGUGAAAGCUCCGAGCUUAACUCGGAAACUGCCAUUGAUACUAUUGGUCUUGAAUUCGGUCGAGGUUGGCGGAAUGUGUCGUGUAGCGGUGAAAUGCUUAGAUAUGACACAGAACACCGAUUGCGAAGGCAGCUAGCUAGACCGACAUUGACGCUGAGGCACGAAAGCCAGGGGAGCAAACGGG
rnacentral:rRNA from 1 species